CAUAUUUUAUAAUUUGCUUAAAAUAAGAGGGCAGUUUGUUCUAUAUUAACCAUCUACAGGCACGGUUAAAGAUAUGCAUUGGAGUAUUUACAAUAAAAGCACAAAUUACACUUUUUUUUCCCUUAGUAUAGUUUUUAGUAUAUUUUACGUUAAAAUAUCCAUAUCCCACUACAGCAAUCACUUAAUCACAAAACAAAAAUUUUGACUUUAAACCACUCUACAUAGAAUGUAGUCAGACAAGGCGAAUAACUGGG